rnacentral:ncRNA from 8 species
GGUAAACGGCGGGAGUAACUAUGACUCUCU